rnacentral:rRNA from 1 species
UGAGUUUGAUUCUGGCUCAGAUUGAACGCUGGCGGCAGGCCUAACACAUGCAAGUCGAACGGUAACAGUAAGUGCCUGCACUUAGCUGACGAGUGGCGGACGGGUGAGUAAUGCUUGGGAAUUUGCCUUUGCGCGGGGGAUAACUAUUGGAAACGAUAGCUAAUACCGCAUAACGUCUACGGACCAAAGGGGGGAUUUCGGUCCUCUCACGUGAAGAGAAGCCCAAGUGAGAUUAGCUAGUUGGUGAGGUAAAGGCUCACCAAGGCGA